rnacentral:lncRNA from 1 species
AUGCUGAGAAGCAGAAGCCAGCUAAAGAGACUGAGAAAGUGCUGGUGGUGAAGCACCAGGAAAAUCAACAGAUCAUGCUCUGUGUUAGUGGAUUCACAAGCAACCUGUACUCCUCAAAGAAAGAUGAUAAGAUGAAGGAGAUCUCUAGAACCAGCAACUGGGGCUCUUCCUUCAGUGAAAAAAGUGGGUGUAUGCAGACUCAUCCAUCCAUGAAUCUAGAUUGCAGGGAUGUGACCUAUGUAAUGAACUUGCUACUUAUUGCUCAUCAUCAUCUUCUUCAAUGACAAAAAAGAAAAUAGUAACAAUGAAUACGUCUCUUGGGCAAAAUAAAUAAUGAGAUUGUUACAGCAACCUGAUUUUUGAAAAGAAAAAAGGAACUUCCUCGAACUAAAGCAGUUAAGACCUCGACAUUUGCUCAUAGAAAAAGUCGCUGAGUCGUUUCUAGUUGUGAAGGUGCAAAAGAUGCAGUUAUCCCUUAUGGAAAAUUCCAAGAACUUGUGCCUAAUUUGAGUCAUGCAAACCUGAGUUCUGCAUGACUGAGCUCUGUCACUCAAUGGUUGGGAA